rnacentral:rRNA from 1 species
UACGUAGGGCGCAAGCGUUGUCCGGAAUUAUUGGGCGUAAAGAGCUCGUAGGCGGUUUGUCGCGUCUGCUGUGAAAACCUAAGGCUCAACCUUGGGCUUGCAGUGGGUACGGGCAGAUUAGAGUGCGGCAGAGGAGACUGGAAUUCCCGGUGUAGCAGUGAAAUGCGUAGAUAUCGGGAGGAAUACCGAUGGCGAAGGCAGGUCUCUGGGCUGACACUGACGCUGGAGGAGCGAAAGCCAUGGGGAGCAAACAGG